rnacentral:rRNA from 1 species
UCGACGGACUCAUAUUGAAACCUAGUGAUUUAUGAGUUAGUGGCGGACGGGUGAGUAACGCGUGGAAAACCUGCCGUAUACCGGGGGAUAACACUUAGAAAUAGGUGCUAAUACCGCAUAAGCGCACAGCUUCGCAUGAAGCAGUGUGAAAAACUCCGGUGGUAUAUGAUGGUUCCGCGUCUGAUUAGCUAGUUGGCGGGGUAACGGCCCACCAAGGCAGCGAUCAGUAGCCGGCCUGAGAGGGUGAACGGCCACAUUGGGACUGAGACACGGCCCAAACUCCUACGGGAGGCAGCAGUGGGGAAUAUUGCACAAUGGGGGAAACCCUGAUGCAGCGACGCCGCGUGAGUGAAGAAGUAUUUCGGUACGUAAAGCUCUAUCAGCAGGGAAGAAAAUGACGGUACCUGACUAAGAAGCCCCGGCUAACUACGUGCCAGCAGCCGCGGUAAUACGUAGGGGGCAAGCGUUAUCCGGAUUUACUGGGUGUAAAGGGAGCGCAGACGGCAGCGCAAGUCUGGAGUGAAAUGCCGGGGCCCAACCCCGGAACUGCUUUGGAAACUGUGCAGCUUGAGUGCGGGAGAGGUAAGUGGAAUUCCUAGUGUAGCGGUGAAAUGCGUAGAUAUUAGGAGGAACACCAGUGGCGAAGGCGGCUUACUGGACCGUAACUGACGUUGAGGCUCGAAAGCGUGGGGAGCAAACAGGAUUAGAUACCCUGGUAGUCCACGCCGUANACGAUGAUUACUAGGUGUCGGGGNACCAAGGUCCUCCGGUGCCGGCGCAAACGCAUUAAGUAAUCCACCUGGGGAGUACGUUCGCAAGAAUGAAACUCAAAGGAAUUGACGGGG